CUCUGUGACUCCUACGGGAGGCAGCAGUGGGGAAUAUUGCACAAUGGGCGCAAGCCUGAUGCAGCAACGCCGUGUGAGUGAAGAAGGUUUUCGGAUCGUAAAACUCUGUCCUAAGGGAAGAAACAAAUGACGGUACCUUAGGAGGAAGCCCCGGCUAACUACGUGCCAGCAGCCGCGGUAAUACGUAGGGGGCAAGCGUUAUCCGGAAUCACUGGGCGUAAAGGGUGCGUAGGCGGCUUAGCAAGCCAGGGGUGAAAGGCAUUGGCUCAACCAAUGUAAGCCUUUUGGAACUGUUAAGCUUGAGUGCAGGAGAGGUAAGUGGAAUUCCUAGUGUAGAGGUGAAAUUCGUAGAUAUUAGGAGGAACACCAGUGGCGAAGGCGACUUACUGGACUGUAACUGACGCUGAUGCACGAAAGCGUGGGUAGCGAACAGGAUUAGAUACCCUGGUAG
rnacentral:rRNA from 1 species